AAAUUUCAGCUCUCGCGCUCAACUCCCUUCUUCUUCCCCUUAGCUUUCCCUGCGUCGCCCCCCUCAAAAAAAAAAACCAUUCCUGCGUCAUCAAUCUAGCUUCCUCGUCGAGUCGUCGGUGGUUCUGGCCUCCUCGCCAGUCGCCGGUGGGUCUCUUUUCUCGCCUCCUCUGCAGAGGUAUGCGAUUAUGCAGAUUGGUUUCUUUCCUGGUCUUGCUCUUCAGUUCACAGAUUGAUAAUAAUUUUAUGGACGAAUUGGAGCUAGACACUGCAGAAAUCCUUAGAAAAGCCAGAAGAAGGAGAAAACAAAAUUGUAAAAGAUCAUUCCUAACUCAAAGAAAGUGAAGGUCUACACUCCGCGGAAUGCGCCUAUACUAGUGAGGAAAUUGAUGUGGUUCGUGAGAAAUGGGCUAAGUUUUUUACCCGCAAGUAUUUACUAUUGGCUUGAGCGCGCUUAAUCGAGGUGGUUUAGUUGUUAUAGAACAAUCAUUUACAUUAAAAUGUAUGCGUACAUUGAAAUUGGAACGUAUAUUUGAAUGUAGUACGUGCACUUUGGUUUUGGGAUAUAUAUAUAUAUAUGUAUACAAA